UACGUAGGGUGCAAGCGUUAAUCGGAAUUACUGGGCGUAAAGCGUGCGCAGGCGGUUUUGUAAGACUGUCGUGAAAUCCCCGGGCUUAACCUGGGGAUUGCAUUUGUGACUGCACGGCUAGAGUGUGUCAGAGGGGGGUAGAAUUCCACGUGUAGCAGUGAAAUGCGUAGAUAUGUGGAGGAAUACCGAUGGCGAAGGCAGCCCCCUGGGAUAACACUGACGCUCAUGCACGAAAGCGUGGGGAGCAAACAGG
rnacentral:rRNA from 1 species